GCCCAAUGGCAUCAACACAUUGCCAGAGAAGAUCAAACAACAGAAGUAGACAAAAUAAGAUCAGUUGCGAGCUUACAUAUCUAUUGUCAUGGCGCUUAGCAAGAGAAAUGCAACCAUUGUGUACCUGGUAGCCCUCAUGGUGGUCAUGGCCACUGUCCAGCAGUCCUGUGAUGCAGCAGCAGUUGUUGAUGGAGUGAAAGCUGCAGCGUGCUCCCCUUUGCCAAACUGUGAACAACGUUGCGGAACUGUCUGCAGCGUUAGUGGCAACCCUUCGUCUGGUGCCCAUUGCCAGAAUGGGCAGUGUUAUUGUGCCUAGUCUAAUACCAUUACCCUUCUAGCUAGCUUGAGGAAUAAUUUUGUAUCAGUUUCUUCAGAUGUAAUAUUGGUGGACGGCAAAUUAAUUAUAGAAACGUUAAUUUGCCGCUCUUGAAUGAUUGAAAAUGUUUUUCUCCCAGAAA